rnacentral:rRNA from 1 species
GAUGAACGCUGGCGGCUUGCUUAACACAUGCAAGUCGAACGGGAACCCUUUUAUUGAACUUUCGGCAGUUUUACUUGUUUUUUGUUGGCGACCGGUUGAUUACCUCUUGGUUAACCUGCCUUAACCAGGGGAAUACCAGUCAGAAAUGCCUCUUAAUCCCGCAUAGCCGCACAGAACCGCUUGGUCCGGUUUGAAAAACUCCGGUGGUAUAAGAGGGACCCGCGUUGGAUUAGCUUGUUGUGGGGGUAACGGCUCACAAAGGCGACGAUCCAUAGCCGGCCUGAGAGGGUGAACGGCGACAUUGGGACUGAGACACGGCCCAGACUCCUACGGGAGGCAGCAGUGGGGGAUAUUGCAAAAUGGGGGAAACCCUGAUGGAGCGACGCCGCGUGAAGGAAGAAGUAUCUCGGUAUGUAAACUUCUAUCAGCAGGGAAGAUAGUGACGGUACCUGACUAAGAAGCCCCGGCUAACUACGUG